rnacentral:lncRNA from 1 species
AUAAUAUAUUGUUAAAUAUAUUGCUAUAAAGAAAGUUUUCAUGUCUGAGAAAUUUGUAUUGAAUAUAUUUUUAUGAUAAAUCAAUAUGCAAUAUUUUUGUUUUUGUUUUGAUCUGACGAACUACAACCCUGAAAGAUUGGUAUCAGACUUUCGUCACUGCUACUUUUAAACACAGAGAGUUUACAUUAAUGUACUUAAUUUGAUUAAAGCGUGUUAUAUAUAAACAAAAACGCAUUUAUCUGUGUUAUUGACCAC